AUGGUUCCAGGGGUUUUAUUGUUGUUGGCAUUCUAUCACUUGUUCUGUUGGGGGAGGAGGAAUUAUAUGUUCUCUGCUCUGAAUUCUCGGUGGCCUAACGCUAUUCUGUUCCAAAGUGUUGAACAAUGGGAGUUUGGGGGCCUGCUGGUUAACAAUUUCAGACCUUCAACAUAUCAGGCAUCGUUGAAGACAAAGGGAAUUUGAAGACCACUGCCUUCAAAACACUCAAUUCCAAGAGCAGAAACAGAUGUGCAAGUUAGAGUUAAAGGGAAGAAAGAUUGAUCAAUUCUACCUGACAAAGAAGAAGAAAGGUGUUAUGAAAGGCUUCAGAUCACAGCUAGUUUUUUUCUAAUAUGUCCUAUUUCUUCUCUGAAAUAUUACUUUAGAGUGAUCCUGGAAACUCUCCAAGAUCAUAGCCCACCAAUGAUCAAACAAUGCUAACUUUGUACAAAGUAAGAAAAAUGUAUUCAAAAUAGUUACAUACCAUUAAUAAAUAUCAAGGGUAAGAAAAUCA
rnacentral:lncRNA from 12 species